UCGCCCUUAGAGUUUGAUCAUGGCUCAGAUUGAACGCUGGCGGAAUGCUUAACACAUGCAAGUCGAGCGGGGUGUAGCAAUACACCUAGCGGCGGACGGGUGAGGAAUACAUAGGAAUCUGCCUCAGAGCGGGGGACAGCCCGGGGAAACCCGGAUUAAUACCGCAUGAUGUCGCAAGACCAAAGUGGGGGACCGCAAGGCCCCACACUCUGAGAUGAGCCUAUGUCCGAUUAGCUAGUUGGCGGGGUAAUAGCCCACCAAGGCGACGAUCGGUAGCUGGUCUGAGAGGACGAUCAGCCACACCGGAACUGAGACACGGUCCGGACUCCUACGGGAGGCAGCAGUGGGGAAUAUUGGACAAUGGGCGCAAGCCUGAUCCAGCAAUUCCGCGUGGGUGAAGAAGGCCUUCGGGUUGUAAAGCCCUUUAAGUUGGGACAAAAAAAUCGGCGAUAACAUCGCCGGUCUUGAUGGUACCGACAGAAUAAGCACCGGCUAACUCUGUGCCAGCAGCCGCGGUAAUACAGAGGGUGCAAGCGUUAAUCGGAUUUACUGGGCGUAAAGCGUGCGCAGGAGGCUCGCUGAGUCGGAUGUGAAAUCCCUGGGCUCAACCCGGGAAUGGCAUUCGAUACUGGCGGGCUCGAGUUCGGUAGAGGGCGGCGGAAUUCCCGGUGUAGCGGUGAAAUGCGUAGAUAUCGGGAGGAACAUCGAUGGCGAAGGCAACCGCCUGGGCCUGAACUGACUCUGAGGCACGAAAGCGUGGGUAGCAAACAGGAUUAGAUACCCUGGUAGUCC
rnacentral:rRNA from 1 species